rnacentral:rRNA from 1 species
GAGAGUAACUGUUCACCCAGUGACGGUAUUUAACCAGAAAGCCACGGCUAACUACGUGCCAGCAGCCGCGGUAAUACGUAGGUGGCAAGCGUUAUCCGGAUUUAUUGGGCGUAAAGCGAGCGCAGGCGGUCUUUUAAGUCUAAUGUGAAAGCCUUCGGCUCAACCGAAGAAGUGCAUUGGAAACUGGGAGACUUGAGUGCAGAAGAGGACAGUGGAACUCCAUGUGUAGCGGUGAAAUGCGUAGAUAUAUGGAAGAACACCAGUGGCGAAGGCGGCUGUCUGGUCUGUAACUGACGCUGAGGCUCGAAAGCAUGGGUAGCGAACAGGAUUAGAUACCCUGGUAGUCCAUGCCGUAAACGAUGAUUACUAAGUGUUGGAGGGUUUCCGCCCUUCAGUGCUGCAGCUAACGCAUUAAGUAAUCCGCCUGGGGAGUACGACCGCAAGGUUGAAACUCAAAAGAAUUGACGGGGGCCCGCACAAGCGGUGGAGCAUGUGGUUUAAUUCGAAGCUACGCGAAGAACCUUACCAGGUCUUGACAUCUUCUGCCAACCUAAGAGAUUAGGCGUUCCCUUCGGGGACAGAAUGACAGGUGGUGCAUGGUUGUCGUCAGCUCGUGUCGUGAGAUGUUGGGUUAAGUCCCGCAACGAGCGCAACCCUUAUUACUAGUUGCCAGCAUUCAGUUGGGCACUCUAGUGAGACUGCCGGUGACAAACCGGAGGAAGGUGGGGACGACGUCAAAUCAUCAUGCCCCUUAUGACCUGGGCUACACACGUGCUACAAUGGAUGGUACAACGAGUCGCGAAACCGCGAGGUUUAGCUAAUCUCUUAAAACCAUUCUCAGUUCGGACUGUAGGCUGCAACUCGCCUACACGAAGUCGGAAUCGCUAGUAAUCGCGGAUCAGCAUGCCGCGGUGAAUACGUUCCCGGGCCUUGUACACACCGCCCGUCACACCAUGAGAGUUUGUAACACCCAAAGCCGG